rnacentral:rRNA from 1 species
GGGUGCUCGAGUGGCGAACGGGUGAGUAACACGUGAGUAACCUGCCCUUGACUUUGGGAUAACUUCAGGAAACUGGGGCUAAUACCGGAUAGGAGCUCCUGCUGCAUGGUGGGGGUUGGAAAGUUUCGGCGGUUGGGGAUGGACUCGCGGCUUAUCAGCUUGUUGGUGGGGUAGUGGCUUACCAAGGCUUUGACGGGUAGCCGGCCUGAGAGGGUGAUCGGCCACACUGGAACUGAGACACGGUCCAG